rnacentral:rRNA from 1 species
CGUAGGUGGCAAGCGUUGUCCGGAUUUAUUGGGUUUAAAGGGUGCGUAGGCGGUCUAUUAAGUCAGUGCUGAAAUAUCCCGGCUUAACCGGGAGGGUGGCAUUGAUACUGAUGGACUUGAGUGCAGUCGAGGUAGGCGGAAUUGACGGUGUAGCGGUGAAAUGCUUAGAUAUCGUCAAGAACACCGAUAGUGAAGACAGCUUACUAGACUGUAACUGACGCUGAGGCACGAAAGUGUGGGGAUCAAACAGGAUUAGAUACCCUGGUAGUCCACACUGUAAACGUUGAUUACUCGAUGUGUGCGAUAUACAGUACGCGUCUUAGCGCAAGCGAUAAGUAAUCCACCUGGGGAGUACGCCGGCAACGGUG